rnacentral:rRNA from 1 species
AACGCGAAGAACCUUACCUACCCUUAACAUCCCGUGCUAGUGGCAGAGAUGUCAUGUUCUCUUCGGAGACGCGGAGAUAGGUGCUGCAUGGCUGUCGUCAGCUCGUGUCGUAAGAUGUCUGGUUAAGUCCAAUAACGAGCGCAACCCUUGUCCUUAGUUGCUAACAUUAAGUUGAGAACUCUAAGGAGACUGCCGGUGUUAAACCGGAGGAAGGCGGGGAUGACGUCAAGUCCUCAUGGCCCUUACGGGUAGGGCUACACACGUACUACAAUGGCAGAGACAAACCGUUGCGAAAUCGCGAGAUGGAGCUAAUCGGAAAAACGCUGCCUCAGUUCAGAUUGGAGUCUGCAACUCGACUCCAUGAAGUUGGAAUCGCUAGUAAUCGCUGAUCAGCAAGCAGCGUGAAUACGUUCCCGGGCCUUGUACACACCGAGUAUA